UGGAGUUUGUCCGAACUGGCUAUGGGAAGGAAAUGGUAAAAGUUCUCCAUAUUCAGUGAGAUGGAAAAUAUCACAGCAUUAAAGAGGUGGCAACUUCAGUGCAACUUACUCUAAGUUCCAAAAAAGAUUACCUGCAUGGAGAUAAUUCAGACAUCAUCCCUACAGACACCAUCAAGAACACAGUUCAUGUCUUGGCAAAGUUUAAAGAAAAUGGAGUUAAGCAUGUCCAUGCAUUUAUUCACACUCCCACUGGAACACACUUCUGUGAAGUUGAACAGCUGAGAAGUGGACCCCAAGUCAUUCAUUCUGGAAUCAAAGACCUCAAGGUCUUGAAAACAACACAGUCUGGAUUUGAAGGUUUCAUCAAGGACCAGUUCACUACCCUCCCUGAGGUGAAGGACUGAUGCUUUGCCACCCAAGUGUACUGCAAGUGGCGCUACCACCAGUGCAGGGAUGUGGACUUCAAGGCUACCUGGGACACCAUUCGGGACCUUGUCAUGGAGAAAUCUGCUGGGCCCUAUGACAAAGGUGAAUACUUGACCUCUGUGCAGAAGACCCUCUGUGAUAUCCAGGUGCUCUCCCUGAGCCGAGUUCCUGCGAUAGAAGAUAUGGAAAUCAGCCUGCCAAACAUUCACUACUUCAACAUAGACAUGUCCAAAAUGGGUCUGAUCAACAAGGAAGAGGUAAGAGGAAAUUGACUCAUCUCUCAACUAUUGCCAGAAUAAUAAGGCAUUACCAUGCUUGAAGUAACUUUAGUGGAGGACAUACACAUUUUCCUGUUUAGUCUUGCUGCCAUUAGACAAUCCAUAUGGAAAAAUUACUGGUACAGUCAAGAGGAAGUUGUCUUCAAGACUGUGACAUUGUGGCCACCAAUAGGAGUCCACUCUCAGCUGAGGAAUUCCUUAAGUCAUUUGUGAUGCUGGAGAUGAUAGCAUGUAGCCAUGCAAAAUUUCACACUAGUAUAUUGAUUUAUAGUGUUCACUUUCCUCCAAUAUGAAACAGUUUAUUUCUUCUACACCUAGCUCAGCAAGGCAUUCUGUGGAUUACCUUAUUAGUAAUUAUAACAGGCUUUAUGGCUAUAAUUUACUUUAAAAAUGCUGAGCAGUAUUAGAACAGUUAUAAAUCAAUAUUUCUUUUUGGUUAUCUUAUGCCUUCCUAUCUUGGAGAAGCUUUAGAAUCAAUUCAUUAAGAAAAUAAUCAUGAAUUAAUGAGUGUGUCACAUCAAUUAAUUUGUGCACAGGUUUAAGAAACAAAUAUUGUUUUCAUCCUACUGAUGCUUCUAAGUAAUGCAGAAAAUGAAAUAAAAUUAUAUUGAAAAAUA